rnacentral:rRNA from 1 species
AUACGGGGCUUAAAGUCUUGUAAUUGGAAUGAUGGGAAUCUAAACCCCUUCCAGAGUAUCAAUUGGAGGGCAAGUCUGGUGCCAGCAGCCGCGGUAAUUCCAGCUCCAAUAGCGUAUAUUAAACUUGUUGCAGUUAAAAAGCUCGUAGUUGAACUUCUGCUGUCAGGUUUUCGUUCCUUUCGGGGUUUCGUCAACCUGGUGGCUUUUUUCUGGGUGAAUUUAGCUUCGGCUUAAUUUCCCAGUAUUUUACUUUGAGAAAAUUAGAGUGCUUCAAGCAGGCUUUUGCCGUGAAUACUUCAGCAUGGAAUAAUAAAGUAGGACUUUGGUUCUAUUUUUGUUGG